GACGUAGGGCGCGAGCGUUGUCCGGAUUUAUUGGGCGUAAAGAGCUCGUAGGCGGUUUGUCGCGUCGUCCGUGAAAACCUGCGGCUCAACUGCAGGCUGGCGGUCGAUACGGGCAGGCUGGAGUUCGGUAGGGGAGACUGGAAUUCCUGGUGUAGCGGUGAAAUGCGCAGAUAUCAGGAGGAACACCGGUGGCGAAGGCGGGUCUCUGGGCCGAUACUGACGCUGAGGAGCGAAAGCGUGGGGAGCGAACAGG
rnacentral:rRNA from 1 species